UACGUAGGGGGCUAGCGUUGUCCGGAAUCAUUGGGCGUAAAGCGCGUGUAGGCGGUCCGGUAAGUCCGCUGUGAAAGUCGAGGGCUCAACCCUCGAAUGCCGGUGGAUACUGUCGGGCUUGAGUACGGGAGAGGCGAGUGGAAUUCCUGGUGUAGCGGUGAAAUGCGCAGAUAUCAGGAGGAACACCGGUGGCGAAGGCGGAUCUCUGGGCCAUUACUGACGCUGAGGAGCGAAAGCGUGGGGAGCAAACAGG
rnacentral:rRNA from 1 species